rnacentral:rRNA from 1 species
GAAACGACUGCUAAGACUGGAUAGGAAAAGUAAAGGCAUCUUUACUUUUUUAAAAGACCUUCUUUGAAGGUAUGCUUAAGGAGGGGCUUGCGACACAUUAGUUAGUUGGCAGGGUAAAGGCCUACCAAGACUAUGAUGUGUAGCUGGACUGAGAGGUUGAACAGCCACAUUGGGACUGAGACACGGCCCAAACUCCUACGGGAGGCAGCAGUAGGGAAUUUUCGGCAAUGGAGGAAACUCUGACCGAGCAACGCCGCGUGAAUGAUGAAGUACCUCGGUAUGUAAAGUUCUUUUAUUAAGGAAGAAAAAAGAGUGGAAAAACUCCCUUGACGGUACUUAAUGAAUAAGCCCCGGCUAAUUAUGUGCCAGCAGCCGCGGUAAUACAUAAGGGGCGAGCGUUAUCCGGAAUUAUUGGGCGUAAAGGGUGCGUAGGCGGUUUAAUAAGUCUAUAGUUUAAUUUCAGUGCUUAACGCUGUUGUGCUAUAGAAACUGUUUUACUAGAGUGAGUUAGAGGCAAGCGGAAUUCCAUGUGUAGCGGUAAAAUGCGUAAAUAUAUGGAGGAACACCAGAGGCGUAGGCGGCUUGCUGGGACUUUACUGACGCUGAGGCACGAAAGCGUGGGGAGCAAACAGGAUUAGAUACCCUGGUAGUCCACGCCGUAAACGAUGAGUACUAAGUGUCGGGUAAAACCGGUACUGAAGUUAACACAUUAAGUACUCCGCCUGAGUAGUACGUACGCAAGUAUGAAACUUAAAGGAAUUGACGGGACUCCGCACAAGCGGUGGAUCAUGUUGUUUAAUUCGAAGAUACACGAAAAACCUUACCAGGUCUUGACAUUUUCUUGCGAAGUUAUAGAAAUAUAAUGGAGGUUAUCAGGAAAACAGGUGGUGCAUGGUUGUCGUCAGCUCGUGUCGUGAGAUGUUAGGUUAAGUCCUAAAACGAGCGCAACCCUUGUCGUUAAUUGCCAGCAUGUAAUGAUGGGGACUUUAACGAGACUGCCAAUGAAAAAUUGGAGGAAGGUGGGGAUUACGUCAAAUCAUCAUGCCCCUUAUGAUCUGGGCUACAAACGUGAUACAAUGGUUGAUACAAAGAGUAGCUGAAACGCGAGUUCUUAGCCAAUCUCACAAAAUCAAUCUCAGUUCGGAUUGAAGUCUGCAACUCGACUUCAUGAAGUUGGAAUCGCUAGUAAUCGCGAAUCAGCAUGUCGCGGUGAAUACGUUCACGGGGUUUGUACACACCGCCCGUCA